GAUUCUUAGUACGUGCAUGUUUUUGCAUUGAAGUUCUUCGAGCAUGGUAUGAUCAUUUGCGGCAUAGCGUGGAGAAUUUCAACCCAAACCGAAGCGAAGCGUGUUAGUGAGCUGAGUUUUGGGCCUUCUGUCGCACAUGAACAAGAUCAGGAUUGAGAGUUCCACACUUCCUUACAUUACGUGGCACAGAGGCUGAGUUCGAACGAUCUUGCCCCAACAGUCAAGGUGGCGACUUCCUAGAAUGCAGACGGUGAUCACAGAUAAAGUAGUGACUGAGGAUCUAAGGAAAGAGGUCUCGAAAUGAUAUGAUGCUCUCUUCGGCAGAAAUCAAAGGCCUGAGAAGUGAUUUAUUCCACUUGCAUCUAAGCAGUUGGUAUAUCGACAGGAAAAGGGACCAGCUAUUGCUUGAGAUAAGCUCAACUAUUCCCAAAUAUCUAAAUCCUUGUGUUCUGCAGCCACCAGCAGUCUGUAAUAAUUUCCUCGAUGAAUGGCCUACUUGUGUAUCCACUUUGGGUGGCCUUCGAUUGUGGGCAUGCCCCACUACACCUCACCAUUACCAAAACUAUCAAUUACAAGAAGAUUCUACUUUCCAGAGAACUUCCCUCAUCAAGGCUUGGAUUUCAAUGGCUGUCCAUGCGCCAACAUAAUUAUUCUGUACUACGCAGAGGCCACCUAUCAGUGGUACGGGAAUCUAAUAGAGCAUUCUCGGUGAAUUUAUUUAAAAGGAGAAAAGUUGGCUGGGCCAUUCUUCCAUCACCCACAGAAACCACCACCAGUUUGGUCCCUAGAAAACCCCCGCAUGCAGAAAUUAUCUCCUUCCCUUUCUAUGGAAUCUUCAUAAAGUAACUCUGGUGAGUUAAAAUACGAGAUGCCUUCUUUGAACUUUUGGAAGAACAGAAAUGCUGAUCAAACCCUUUUUUGACCAUCUAGACUUGAUAGAUCAUAGAUGCUUGUUUCCCUUGCAUGUGAUUUUAAACAAAUGGAGUCUGCAAUCUUGACUUCCGAGUGAUAUUCUUUGUGGAUGUAACAAGGAAUAUUGAUGACGUUUAUCCGAAUUCCCUUUGCAGUUUUGAAAAGAAAAUAAGGCACAUUACAUACUUUCUCCUGUUCGUUGUCCUAGAAACCUCUCAGCUUGAAUAUUAAUCAAUGAAGACUUCAGUUCAUCAAAAACUAACCAACUGGAGAACGCUUUGAGCCGAGAUUCCUAUGAUUUUGGCCAAAGAUACUGUGUCAUCUUAGAGGGAAGGAUUACAACCUUCGUUCUAUGCAGAACAAUGUUGUCACACAUCCAUUCGAUCUAAUAAGUACCUUGUGUCAGAAUUGAGAAAUUCUGGCUCGAAUCUUUAGUAUUCUCUUAUUUAUUACCUGUGUCUACUCUUUAGACAGAAUACCGUCACCCAUUUUUACUAAGAGACUGAAAAAAACCUCAGAAACGGAAGAAAGGGAGGAAGAAACAGAUGUAGAAAUAGAAAAAACUGCAUCUCAGGCAUGUUUUAUGCGCAGAGUUAAUUGGCAAGAAAUGAUAUGCAGCAGCUUCAUUUGUUCUCA